GCCUUACCUAUACAGUGCAGCCCACUGUCCCACUAUCUGAAUUCAAAUGACACUAUAUGGAUUUUUCUCUCAAGCGCGCCCACGAAUACGCGUUCACGUUUGGCAGCUCCACGUCGACAUUCUUCCAGCUGUGCACAGGGCUGAAAGAAGAAGAGGUAAAAGCGGCGUGAAGCCAGCUAUACGAACACUGUAUGUAGGCUCCAACGAGGGACGUCAACCGCGAAAUGGAGAAGAGGAAAAUCUCCUGUUUUUUUACAGUUAGUCCUGCAACAAUUGUAUAUAGCACACUGUUUUUUUUUUGUUGCAUUUUAUGAUCUUUUUGCCCUCGUGCUGGAUUGCAGCUGGCCCCCUUUAACAGCUCUCACUUCUGCCAGGUGAAGGAGUGGUGAAAUGGGUUGGCACAAAGGAAUAGCCUACGAUGUGGCACUCUGGCUUUCCAAGUAAAGUUCUGUGAUACACUUCGACUCUAAUUGUUUGCAGUCAGUGCAUUACAGAACUUUGUUUUGGGAGUUAAUGCUCCGGCCUGCGGGAAACAAACCUACCAUCUGGAGAGUGGAACCAUUAUUUCACAUGCCACUUGCAGACUGCAAAAGGGAGAAUAAAGUUUUUCUUUUGACAAUGACUCAUGAGUUUUCACCAACUUUUGUAGUAUGUAUUUGCUUAUAAGUAAACACGCACUUGGUCUAUUGGCAUCAGAGUGAAAUGUCUGAACUAUUAAUGAAAAAUGGACUCCCAGAAAGCCAUGGUAGAGUGUUAAAUAAUUUCCUAUAGGACGAUAGUGGGCCAUAUGGAGACUCCAGUCAUACCUCACUAUCACUUGGACAUGUGACUCAAUGGACGUGAGAAGGAAAGAUAAACAACAGCAGUUGAAAUGUUGAAACCUCAUUUUCACUGUCCUCGGUCAUACAAUGUAGUGGUCAAACAUCUCAUAACCAUAUCAAACCCAUAAACAUGAAUGUCCCAAUUCAGAUACUUUUUUCUUCAUCAUUUUCUGUUGAGUAUUGACAUUGUGUCAUGCGAAUGCUAGAUAAUUGUCUGUUGUAUCAUUCAUUGUUGGAAUGUAAGUAUAAAACUAUUUCAGAGAUGUA